GCACGAUCGUCGGGUUGAGGCAGGCGGCUGUCCUCCUUCUCUUUUGCAGCUUCCACUUUUCGGGCACCAGGAAGCAAUCUCAGAUACAGAGAUGAUUCAAUAUGCAGCAGCAACAUGUCUGGUGUUCAAUCAGCCUGGGUGGGAAAGCCAGGCCAGUCAACUACCAAGCUUUACCUUAACAUAUGGUUUGAAGGGCAAGUGUGAAGGUGUUCUAUUCC